UACAGAGGUCCCAAGCGUUGUUCGGAUUCACUGGGCGUAAAGGGUGCGUAGGCGGUCGGGUAAGUCUGGCGUGAAAUCUCCAAGCCUAACUUGGAAACUGCGUUGGAUACUAUCCGGCUCGAGGAAUGGAGGGGAGACUGGAAUACUUGGUGUAGCAGUGAAAUGCGUAGAUAUCAAGUGGAACACCAGUGGCGAAGGCGAGUCUCCGGACAUUUCCUGACGCUGAGGCACGGAAGCCAGGGGAGCAAACGGG
rnacentral:rRNA from 1 species